CCUACGGGUGGCAGCAGUAGGGAAUAUUGGACAAUGGGCGAGAGCCUGAUCCAGCCAUGCCGCGUGCAGGAAGAAGGCCCUCUGGGUUGUAAACUGCUUUUGACAGGGAACAAAGAGUCCAUGCGUGGAUAAAUGAGUGUACCUGUAGAAUAAGCACCGGCUAACUCCGUGCCAGCAGCCGCGGUAAUACGGAGGGUGCAAGCGUUGUCCGGAUUUAUUGGGUUUAAAGGGUGCGUAGGCGGCUUUUUAAGUCAGCGGUGAAAUACUUCAGCUUAACUGGAGGACUGCCGUUGAUACUGGAAGGCUUGAGUACUGAUGAAGAGGGCAGAAUUGAAGGUGUAGCGGUGAAAUGCAUAGAUAUCUUCAAGAAUACCGAUUGCGAAGGCAGCUCUCUAAGGAGUAACUGACGCUGAGGCACGAAAGCGUGGGUAGCAAACAGGAUUAGAUACCCUUGUAGUC
rnacentral:rRNA from 1 species